AGCGAACGCUGGCGGUAGGCCUAACACAUGCAAGUCGAACGGCAGCACAGUAAGAGCUUGCUCUUACGGGUGGCGAGUGGCGGACGGGUGAGGAAUACAUCGGACUCUACUCUUUCGUGGGGGAUAACGUAGGGAAACUUACGCUAAUACCGCAUACGACCUACGGGUGAAGGCAGGGGAUCUUCGGACCUUGCGCGAUUGAAUGAGCCGAUGUCGGAUUAGCUAGUUGGCGGGGUAAAGGCCCACCAUGGCGACGAUCCGUAGCUGGUCUGAGAGGAUGAUCGCCCACACUGGAACUGAGACACGGUCAAGACUCCUACGGGAGGCAGCAGUGGGGAAUAUUGGGCAGUGGGGGCAAGCCUGGUCCAGCCGUACCGCGUGGGUGAAGAAGACCUUCGGGUUGUAAAGCCCUUUUGUUGGGAAAGAAAAGCAGCAGGUUAAUACCCCGCUGUUCUGACGGUACCCAAAGAAUAAGCACCGGCUAACUUCGUG
rnacentral:rRNA from 1 species